rnacentral:rRNA from 1 species
AUACGUAGGGGGCGAGCGUUGUCCGGAAUGACUGGGCGUAAAGAGCUCGUAGGUGGUUUGUCGCGUCGUCUGUGAAAUUCCGGGGCUUAACUCCGGGCGUGCAGGCGAUACGGGCAUAACUUGAGUACUGUAGGGGAGACUGGAAUUCCUGGUGUAGCGGGGAAAUGCGCAGAUAUCAGGAGGAACACCGGUGGCGAAGGCGGGUCUCUGGGCAGUAACUGACGCUGAGGAGCGAAAGCAUGGGUAGCGAACAGGAUUAGAUACCCUGGUAGUCCAUGCCGUAAACGGUGGGCGCUAGGUGUAGGGGUCUUCCACGACUUCUGUGCCGUAGCUAACGCAUUAAGCGCCCCGCCUGGGGAGUACGGCCGCAAGGCUAAAACUCAAAGGAAUUGACGGGG